NAACCAACAGGGAUUGCCUUAGUAACGGCGAGUGAAGCGGCAAAAGCUCAAAUUUGAAAUCUGGCACCUUCGGUGUCCGAGUUGUAAUUUGAAGAAGGUAACUUUGGAGUUGGCUCUUGUCUAUGUUCCUUGGAACAGGACGUCACAGAGGGUGAGAAUCCCGUGCGAUGAGAUGCCCAAUUCUAUGUAAAGUGCUUUCGAAGAGUCGAGUUGUUUGGGAAUGCAGCUCUAAGUGGGUGGUAAAUUCCAUCUAAAGCUAAAUAUUGGCGAGAGACCGAUAGCGAACAAGUACAGUGAUGGAAAGAUGAAAAGAACUUUGAAAAGAGAGUGAAAAAGUACGUGAAAUUGUUGAAAGGGAAGGGCUUGAGAUCAGACUUGGUAUUUUGCGAUCCUUUCCUUCUUGGUUGGGUUCCUCGCAGCUUACUGGGCCAGCAUCGGUUUGGAUGGUAGGAUAAUGACUAAGGAAUGUGGCUCUACUUCGGUGGAGUGUUAUAGCCUUGGUUGAUACUGCCUGUCUAGACCGAGGACUGCGUCUUUUGACUAGGAUGUUGGCAUAAUGAUCUUAAGCCAC
rnacentral:rRNA from 1 species